rnacentral:lncRNA from 1 species
GAAGUGCUGCCAAUUUUGGCCUAAACCUGGUUAAAUUAAAACCCGGUUGAUAUUCGAGGUGAGAACUCGCGGCAGCUGCUGACACUGCAUCGCCUACCAAUUCAAUGCAUGGACGGAGAAAUCAACCCGAUGCCUGACAGAGAUUCGUUUUAACCAUAAUUGGUGAGUGGGAGCCGUGGUCGCAGGCUGACGUUACCGUGCCGGCCGCAGCAACUAGAACACUCCAAGAUGGACUUUCAGCGAGCAGCUUUGUAUAAUACUCCCACUCACACACACCCACACACACUCACACCCGCACACAACUAUAUGUUUAUGUAUAUAUAUAUAUAUAUAUAUAUAUAUAGUUAUUUAUAUAACUAUCCUGCGCGUCGCGGUCUGCGUGUUGGAAGACGAGACGGUGGAUCGAAGGAUCGAUGGAUCCAUCGGAGGAGGACGAGGAGGAGCACGCGGCGGAUCUUCCCCCCACCUGCGACCGACCUUUCCGAGAUGCCGGAGAGUAAACUCUGGCAAACCAGAGCAUGAAAUUGUUGUUUUCACCGCCUCCUCGUCUCGCGAUUCGUGAUCCGCCUAGCCCCAGAAACCACGCGCCGUCUACAUUUCCCCACACCUCGAUUGUCCCACCCCCUCCUUCUCCUUCGUCCUCUUCUUCUUUCUAGCUCCUGCCAUCCUUCCUUCCUUCCUGCCUGGGAUCUGAUCCACGCGCAUUCAUAUUCCGUCGCGGCACACUGUGCCUCCGCGCUGGCGGUGGAUACCUCCGAGGCUGCUGCUCCAGUGUUGUUGCAGUUGAGCAGGGCUCAUGUUCCGGGAUGCGAAUUCAUGUGCCCUCGGUGAAUGGAAUCAUGUGGUAAGUUGGGCUACAUCGUUGUCUGUUCAUUGUUGAAUCCCAUACAGUCUGUCUUACAUCGAACAAGUUGUUGUUGUUGUUGUUGUUGGAAUGUAACUGGUUGUUUCUCAUUUGCAUGGACUGGUUGGUUCCUGUGCAUUGUUCCAUGCUAUCUUUUUGCAUGCUGUUUGUUCCUUUGUUUGUUUGUUCUUUCUUUCUCAUUCACUUCUUCGUUUUUUUUAUUGUGUUUCAUUCAUGGAGAAUAGAGACUGUGUGCGUAUUUUUGUAGGUUUUUCUUAAGAAACAUUGUUGCUACUGUAUAGUGUCCUCAUGGAAGUGUUUUAUGAUGUGUAUUGAUCUAUAUCUGUGUCUGCAUGUACCUGUGUGCAGAUAGAUAGAUUUAUAGACAUGUAUAUACAUAGAGAGAGUGAUCUCGUUAAAUUUAAAUUUUUAUUCAUGGAAUCAUUCUGUUUAUAGCAUGCUGUCGUUUUACUCUUUCUUCUUUUUUGUUUAUUUGAUUUGUUUUUCAAGAGUUUGUCUCGAAUUUUUUUUAUUUUUUCACUUAGAACUUUAAUACAUCAACAUGCUGAGUUGUUGUUAGUACUUUCAAGAUCAGAUAAACAAGAUUAGUUUUAAUCAAUUUUGUGUAUCACUCAGUGCAAAAUAGUAAUUACAAUGAUAAUUAUAAAAAUAAAAAGGC